UAAGAAUUAGUUUUAAAAAAAAUAUUUGUAUGUCAUACAAAAGUUGAAAAAAAAAUUUUCAUUCUUAG
rnacentral:tRNA from 1 species